GAUGAACGCUGGCGGCGUGCCUAAUACAUGCAAGUCGAGCGAACAGACGAGGAGCUUGCUCCUCUGACGUUAGCGGCGGACGGGUGAGUAACACGUGGAUAACCUACCUAUAAGACUGGGAUAACUUCGGGAAACCGGAGCUAAUACCGGAUAAUAUAUUGAACCGCAUGGUUCAAUAGUGAAAGACGGUUUUGCUGUCACUUAUAGAUGGAUCCGCGCCGCAUUAGCUAGUUGGUAAGGUAACGGCUUACCAAGGCGACGAUGCGUAGCCGACCUGAGAGGGUGAUCGGCCACACUGGAACUGAGACACGGUCCAGACUCCUACCGGAGGCAGCAGUAGGGAAUCUUCCGCAAUGGGCGAAAGCCUGACGGAGCAACGCCGCGUGAGUGAUGAAGGUCUUCGGAUCGUAAAACUCUGUUAUUAGGGAAGAACAAAUGUGUAAGUAACUAUGCACGUCUUGACGGUACCUAAUCAGAAAGCCACGGCUAACUACGUG
rnacentral:rRNA from 1 species